rnacentral:rRNA from 1 species
UACGAAGGGGGCUAGCGUUGCUCGGAAUCACUGGGCGUAAAGCGCACGUAGGCGGCUUUCUAAGUCAGGGUGAAAUCCUGGAGCUCAACUCCAGAACUGCCUUUGAUACUGGAGAGCUUGAGUCCGGGAGAGGUGAGUGGAACUCCGAGUGUAGAGGUGAAAUUCGUAGAUAUUCGGAAGAACACCAGUGGCGAAGGCGGCUCACUGGCCCGGUACUGACGCUGAUGUGCGAAAGCGUGGGAGCAACAGGA